UUUCCGUAGGUGAACCUGCGGAAGGAUCAUUAUUGUAUAACCGAGGGGCGAGGGCUGUCGCUGACCCGAAAGGUCGUGCACGCCCGAGUGCCCUCACUCUCAUCCAUCUCACCCCUAUGUGCACCACCGCGUGGGUCGCCCUUUGGCUUGUUCGGGGGGGUGCUUACGUUUUCACACAAACUUUGUAUGCAGUGUAGAAUGUAUUUUUUGUUUUUGCGAUCACUCAAUCAAUACAACUUUCAACAACGGAUCUCUUGGCUCUC
rnacentral:misc_RNA from 1 species